rnacentral:rRNA from 1 species
UACGGAGGGUGCAAGCGUUAUCCGGAUUCACUGGGUUUAAAGGGUGCGUAGGUGGGUAUGUAAGUCAGUGGUGAAAUCCCCGAGCUUAACUUGGGAACUGCCGUUGAUACUAUAUAUCCUGAAUGUCGUAGAGGUAAGCGGAAUAUGUCAUGUAGCGGUGAAAUGCUUAGAGAUGACAUAGAACACCAAUUGCGAAGGCAGCUUACUAUGCGAAUAUUGACACUGAGGCACGAAAGCGUGGGUAGCAAACAGG